rnacentral:rRNA from 1 species
UACGGGGGGGGCAAGCGUUGUUCGGAAUUACUGGGCGUAAAGGGCUCGUAGGCGGCCAACUAAGUCAUACGUGAAAUCCCUCGGCUUAACCGGGGAACUGCGUCUGAUACUGGAUGGCUUGAGUUCGGGAGAGGGAUGCGGAAUUCCAGGUGUAGCGGUGAAAUGCGUAGAUAUCUGGAGGAACACCGGUGGCGAAGGCGGCAUCCUGGACCGAUACUGACGCUGAGGCACGAAAGCGUGGGGAGCAAACAGG